CGUGAGGAACUAGUUGGAUCAGCUCAAAGACAUAUCCUUCCAGAUGGUGGAUGUGCUGGACGAGUGGAACACCGAGAUGCUGAGACAGCAGGUUAAGAAGCAAGAACGGGAAGGAGAAAAUGCUGAUGUUCUUGUUCCUAACAAGAAGAAGAAGGAGAGCUGGGUAAUGUGGAUCAAGUGGUGACUCGCGAGCUAGGCAUAUAGAUUAAUCUUCUUUGGAAAGGUAAUCAUUCGUCCGUACGUACCAAAUUCGAUAUCAAAUUUCCACGGCGCAUGGAUUUGCUUAUCUUAGUUGUGCAAGUUUUCGCACAACAUACGGAAGAAAGGAGCGUCAGUUGAACUCACCUUCUAGUUUCUCGUAAGGGAUUCUGCCGAAUCAAAAGGCGUGAUGUCGACCAUCAACGUCCCCUCCUAAAGUUUCAACUGAACUUCUGAUCAUCUUCACCAAUGCCGUGAGAACUUGUAGGCAUUGGAAAGUGAUUUGUCAAAGCAUUCCUCUGUUGACUCCUCAUUGCUUGGACCUGCGCUUAAUGAUCCUU
rnacentral:sRNA from 1 species